GACGAACGCUGGCGGCGUGCUUAACACAUGCAAGUCGAACGAGACGAUUGAAAGCUUGCUUUCGAAAGUCGAGUGGCAAACGGGUGAGUAACGCGUAGACAACCUGCCUUUGAGAUGGGGACAACAGUUCGAAAGGACUGCUAAUACCGAAUGUUGUAUAUUUUCCACAUGGAAGAUAUAUUAAAGAUGGCCUCUAUUUAUAAGCUAUCGCUCAAAGAUGGGUCUGCGUCUGCUUGGCUGGUUGGUGGGGUAACGGCCUACCAAGGCGACGAUCAGUAGCCGGUCUGAGAGGAUGAACGGCCACAUUGGGACUGAGACACGGCCCAGACUCCUACGGGAGGCAGCAGUGGGGAAUCUUCCACAAUGGACGAAAGUCUGAUGGAGCAACGCCGCGUGAGUGAAGAAGGGUUUCGGCUCGUAAAGCUCUGUUGUCGGGGACGAAUGUGCAGUAUUUGAAUAAAGUACUGCAAUGACGGUACCUGACGAGGAAGCCACGGCUAACUACGUGCCAGCCGCCGCCGUAA
rnacentral:rRNA from 1 species